UGCUCAAGCUUCAAAAUGUCUUGCAGCCACUUCGCACUGUGUUUGUGUUCCCUUGGGGUUUCAUCCAGCUCGGCUCACUCAGAGAAAAGACUAAUUGAUCCCGACACAUCGAACGGACAAGACAAUAGAUCAAAGGUACAGGCCAAAGGCUUUCGCGAUGCUUUAUGAUCCCGGCUCGCAGCGUAAUCUGUAAAGAGAAUGGGAUACAAGAAGAAGACAAGAAGUACUACUCUAAUGCAAACGUUGAUUAGCCAGUCAGUUGUAUUAAUUGGCUGGCCUCUAGCUACCAUGGCAAAAUCCCAAACAAUUGAAUCAGAGGAGAGCGAUGGAGCCCAAUGCCACAGCUCAUCUGAACUGGGGCCUGUGCUCUCGCUGAUGGACUGGGGGAGCCACUGGGCCAUUGAGAGAAACGUUUAACAUUCACGUUUAGUUAAGCUGAUGCUAACUGACCUUGGGGCCCUCGUGACGAGAAGGCUGCCAUUUGUUUCAAUUACAUCUUCAGUCCGAUUCAGCUGCUGGAGCUCCUCAGAUGUGUGUGGUGAAUGUGUGCUGUGCUGUGGGUCAGGGUUUAAAAAUUGUGUGAAACCUGGUAAAGCGGACAGCUCUGGACUGCUGCAUGAAAUGUGCUUUCCUUUGCAUAAGCUCCUUCUGAUUAGAACCAAAAAGUGAUUAAUGGAACGACAUAUUGUUAUUAUUAGUAUAGUAUUUAGAUGGCAAGAGCUGUUUGCCAAAGCAGUUUUGGUUGUAUAUAAAAUUUUUAUAUGUGUUGGA